UAAUUGAAGAGUUUGAUCAUGGCUCAGAUUGAACGCUGGCGGCAGGCCUAACACAUGCAAGUCGAACGGUAGCGGGAAGAAGCUUGCUUCUUUGCCGACGAGUGGCGGACGGGUGAGUAAUGUCUGGGAAACUGCCUGAUGGAGGGGGAUAACUACUGGAAACGGUAGCUAAUACCGCAUAACGUCUUCGGACCAAAGAGGGGGACCUUCGGGCCUCUUGCCAUCAGAUG
rnacentral:rRNA from 1 species